AUUGAACGCUGGCGGCAGGCCUAACACAUGCAAGUCGAACGAGUGGCGGACGGGCGAGCUAUGUAUGGGAAACUGCCUGAUGGAGGGGGAUCACUACUGGAAACGGUAGCCAAUACCGCCUACCAUCGGAUGUGCCCAGAUGGGAUUAGCUAGUGGGUGGGGUAUAGGCUCACCUAGGCGACGAUCCCUAGCUGGUCUGAGAGGAUGACCAGCCACACUGGAACUGAGACACGGUCCAGACUCCUACGGGAGGCAGCAGUGGGGAAGAUUGCACAAUGGGCGCAAGCCUGAUGCAGCCAUGCCGCGUGUAUGAAGAAGGCCUUCGGGUUGUAAAGUACUUUCAGCGGGGAGGCGUUACCCGCAGAAGAAGCACCGGCUAACUCCGUGCCAGCAGCCGCGGUAAUAC
rnacentral:rRNA from 1 species